rnacentral:rRNA from 1 species
GAUGAACGCUGGCGGCGUGCCUAAUACAUGCCAGUCGAGCGAACAGACGAGGAGCUUGCUCCUCUGACGUUAGCGGCGGACGGGUGAGUAACACGUGGAUAACCUACCUAUAAGACUGGGAUAACUUCGGGAAACCGGAGCUAAUACCGGAUAAUAUAUUGAACCGCAUGGUUCAAUAGUGAAAGACGGUUUUGCUGUCACUUAUAGAUGGAUCCGCGCCGCAUUAGCUAGUUGGUAAGGUAACGGCUUACCAAGGCGACGAUGCGUAGCCGACCUGAGAGGGUGAUCGGCCACACUGGAACUGAGACACGGUCCAGACUCCUACGGGAGGCAGCAGUAGGGAAUCUUCCGCAGUGGGCGAAAGCCUGACGGAGCAACGCCGCGUGAGUGAUGAAGGUCUUCGGAUCGUAAAACUCUGUUAUUAGGGAAGAACAAAUGUGUAAGUAACUAUGCACGUCUUGACGGUACCUAAUCAGAAAGCCACGGCUAACUACGUG